UACGUAGGGUGCAAGCGUUAAUCGGAAUUACUGGGCGUAAAGCGUGCGCAGGCGGUUGUGCAAGACAGAUGUGAAAUCCCCGGGCUUAACCUGGGAAUUGCGUUGGAGACUGCAAGGCUGGAGUCUGGCAGAGGGGGGUAGAAUUCCACGUGUAGCAGUGAAAUGCGUAGAGAUGUGGAGGAACACCGAUGGCGAAGGCAGCCCCCUGGGUCAAGACUGACGCUCAUGCACGAAAGCGUGGGGAGCAAACAGG
rnacentral:rRNA from 1 species